rnacentral:rRNA from 1 species
GGGAAUAGCCACUGGAAACGGUGGCUAAUACCGCAUACGCCCUUAGGGGGAAAGGCUUCGGCCGUCCGAGGAGUGGCCCGCGCCCGAUUAGCUUGUUGGUGGGGUAAUGGCCUACCAAGGCUACGAUCGGUAGCUGGUCUGAGAGGAUGAUCAGCCACACUGGGACUGAGAUACGGCCCAGACUCCUACGGGAGGCAGCAGUGGGGAAUAUUGGACAAUGGGGGAAACCCUGAUCCAGCAAUGCCGCGUGAGUGAUGAAGGCCUUAGGGUUGUAAAGCUCUUUCGCCUGGGACGAUGAUGACGGUAGCAGGAGAAGAAGCCCCGGCUAAUUCCGUGCCAGCAGCCGCGGUAAUACGGAAGGGGCUAGCGUUGUUCGGAAUUACUGGGCGUAAAGCGCGCGUAGGCGGCUUUUCAAGUUAGGUGUGAAAGCCCUGGGCUCAACCUAGGAAUUGCACUUAAGACUGAAAGGCUAGGGUCCGAGAGAGGGUGGUGGAAUUCCCAGUGUAGAGGUGAAAUUCGUAGAUAUUGGGAGGAACACCGGUGGCGAAAGCGGCCACCUGGCUCGGUACCGACGCUCAAGUGCGAAAGCGUGGGGAGCAAACAGGAUUAGGUACCCUGGUAGUCCACGCCGUAAACGAUGGGUGCUAGAUGUCGGGGGGCUUGCCUCUCGGUGUCGAAGCUAACGCAUUAAGCACCCCGCCUGGGGAGUACGGCCGCAAGGUUAAAACUCAAAGGAAUUGACGGGGGCCCGCACAAGCGGCGGAGCAUGUGGUUUAAUUCGAAACAACGCGCAGAACCUUACCAGCUCUUGACAUGGGACGUUUGGCCCUGGGAGACCGGGGUCGUCAGUUCGGCUGGCGUCCACACAGGUGCUGCAUGGCUGUCGUCAGCUCGUGUCGUGAGAUGUUGGGUUAAGUCCCGCAACGAGCGCAACCCUCGUCUUCAGUUGCCAUCAGGUAGGGCUGGGCACUCUGAAGAAACCGCCGGUGACAAGCCGGAGGAAGGUGGGGAUGACGUCAAGUCCUCAUGGCCCUUACGGGCUGGGCUACACACGUGCUACGAUGGCGGUGACAAUGGGUUGCAAACCCGCGAGGGUAAGCUAAGCCCAAAAAGCCGUCCCAGUUCGGAUUGCAGUCUGCAACUCGACUGCAUGAAGUUGGAAUCGCUAGUAAUCGCGGAUCAGCACGCCGCGGUGAAUCCGUUCCCGGGCCUUGUACACACCGCCCGUCACACCAUGGGAGUUGGCUUUACCUGAAGCUGGUGCGCUAACCCGC